UUUUUACCUUACAACUGUAAAUUUAGAAUACACUUGAUACGCUAAAGAAGAAAGUAAUAAACCAGAAUUAAACAGUUAGUGUAUGCUAUCAUCCCUUUCUUCUGGGCAAUUUUUACUACAGCUGCAAACAUAUUCUUCAUACAUUUUCAGUCUUAACUUUUUCAUCCAACAUUCCUGAAGUUAUGUGAAACCUUUAGAGUACAACUUUUAUUGACUAGCUGAUAUGCCAUCACAUUGAUGAAGUGACAGAUACACUGUUUGCAUUACUGCUGUGAGUGAAUGAAAAUAACAGUGAGUCUGUGCUGCCCAAGUCCUCUGAGUCUCAAGAUUCCCAUGAGAAGAUACUUGUACAUUAUUUUAAAAUUUCUAGUUGGUUAAAUCACACUUUGGAAUAUUCCGGAUAUUCGUUAAGCAAUGACACAAUGAAAACUUGCUUCUUGUGCCUUGUGCUUUGUGCAGCUGCAGGAGCCUUUGUGAACCUGGAGCAGGGCACCCACAACUUCUUUCGGUCCUUAGGGUACUGUGCAUGUCUACCCUUCGGAAAUGUACAUGUCUUGAAGAAACUGAGGCUUCAUGGAGGAAAGAGAGUGGAUUUAGAACAAAUAGCUUGCGUAAAUGUUUUAUGGAAAUUACUCCGGAUCCCCAACCAAGAGUCCGUUUUUGGGUAAGGUCCAGAAAUCUGUAUUCCAAUACUGCAAGGUAACGUGAUGAACUGAGCUGAACAUCCCCUGAACUGUACUUGGGCAGAUGCAGACUGUUCUCUCUUUUUUUCUGUUUUUUCUUUUUUUUUCUGCUUUGCCAUCAAUUAGUAAUUUUCUUGAAUAGAGUGCAGGUUUGCCACAAACUGCCUGAGUGGGCCCAGGACGGAAGAUGAUUUAGAUCAGGAAGAGGCUGUAGGUGAUGAGUCCUCUCUGGGAAAUAAUGCAAUCAAUUGGUAAUUUAAUGAGAAAAGAUAGGGCAGUGGGAAUGAAAAAAAGAUGAAUGUGAGAGAUAGAAACACUGGCAAAUCAAAUAAUUUAUAUUACAUAGAGGCAUUAGGGGAAAAAGAGGAUACAAAACAUUCUGGGUUAGCAAG
rnacentral:lncRNA from 1 species